CCUACGGGGGGCAGCAGUCGAGAAUCAUUCACAAUGGGGGAAACCCUGAUGGUGCGACGCCGCGUGGGGGAAUGAAGGUCUUCGGAUUGUAAACCCCUGUCAUGUGGGAGCAAAUUAAAAAGAUAGUGCCACACGAGGAAGAGACGGCUAACUCUGUGCCAGCAGCCGCGGUAAUACAGAGGUCUCAAGCGUUGUUCGGAAUCACUGGGCGUAAGGCGUGCGUAGGCUGUUUCGUAAGUCGUGUGUGAAAGGCGCGGGCUCAACCCGCGGACGGCACAUGAUACUGCGAGACUAGAGUAAUGGAGGGGGAACCGGAAUUCUCGGUGUAGCAGUGAAAUGCGUAGAUAUCGAGAGGAACACUCGUGGCGAAGGCGGGUUCCUGGACAUUAACUGACGCUGAGGCACGAAGGCCAGGGGAGCGAAAGGGAUUAGAUACCCUGGUAGUC
rnacentral:rRNA from 1 species